UACAGAGGGCUCAAGCGUUGUUCGGAUUCAUUGGGCGUAAAGGGUGCGUAGGCGGCGCGGCAAGUCGGGUGUGAAAUCUCGGAGCUUAACUCCGAAACUGCAUUCGAUACUGCCGUGCUUGAGGACUGGAGAGGAGACUGGAAUUUACGGUGUAGCGGUGAAAUGCGUAGAUAUCGUAAGGAAGACCAGUGGCGAAGGCGGGUCUCUGGACAGUUCCUGACGCUGAGGCACGAAGGCCAGGGGAGCAAACGGG
rnacentral:rRNA from 1 species